rnacentral:rRNA from 1 species
UUGAACGCUGGCGGCAGGCCUCACCCAUGCAAGUCGCGCGGAUGAAGGGAGCUUGCUCCUGGAUUCAGCGGCGGACGGGUGAGUAAUGCCUAGGAAUCUGCCUGGUAGUGGGGGAUAACGUCCGGAAACGGGCGCUAAUACCGCAUACGUCCUGAGGGAGAAAGUGGGGGAUCUUCGGACCUCACGCUAUCAGAUGAGCCUAGGUCGGAUUAGCUAGUUGGGGGGGUAAAGGCCUACCAAGGCGACGAUCCGUAACUGGUCUGAGAGGAUGAUCAGUCACACUGGAACUGAGACACGGUCCAGACUCCUACGGGAGGCAGCAGUGGGGAAUAUUGGACAAUGGGCGAAAGCCUGAUCCAGCCAUGCCGCGUGUGUGAAGAAGGUCUUCGGAUUGUAAAGCACUUUAAGUUGGGAGGAAGGGCAGUAAGUUAAUACCUUGCUGUUUUGACGUUACCAACAGAAUAAGCACCGGCUAACUUCGUG